AUCUGAAGAUGGAAAGCAGAAGAGAGUGGAGGGUGUGCUGAAGCUGGAGAAAUGAAACACAAAGCCCUGGCUUUCAGGAUGAUCAGGCAGUGACCAGGCAUCUCCUUGCUCCUAUAAGUUCUUGGAGAAGUAGCUGGCGAAAAUCGAAGGGGAAGACAUUGCAGUGAUUCAGCUAGCAGCUAGAAGUUGCACUCUUCUGCCCGUGAAGUUUCUUUCCUGCUAAGUAGUGGAGGCAAGAAGAAAGGUAUUCCUUGUUGAACCCAAGAAAGAAGGCCUUUAUUUGUCAUCAUUGCAGAAGCUGAACUCUGUGACCACAAGUGAACUUACAGAAGCAAGGUAAG